GCUCGUUUGUGGGCCUCAGGCUGUCCUGUGUGUUCGUGGCAGGUACAGACGGGCAGCAGUUGGAACUCUUGGAGAUCGGGUUGACGGACCAAGGAAGUGCCGUGUUAUUUCACACACGCAGCGGCAGAGGAAACUCUGCCUUGCUUGUGUCUGGUGCGGAGCGGCGCACGACGUUAAAGCAGGACUUGAAGACGCAGUGGCAGGGUGGAGAAGCCCUGCCUGGCGCGUAAGUGCCGCCACAGCCGAGUGCAUUCAGUGCCUCUGUGAUUCUCCAUGCUGACUGUUUUCUGCUCUGUGCACAGGCUACAUCGGUGGACCCAGCCUGGACGGGACGCUCCGGGACUCUCCUUUUAGUCUAACCUAAGUUUAACUUUUUAAUAGUGCCCGUGCCUUUUUAGCAAGCUACUAAACUUUACUCUGUGGGUUUUUAAUCUUGUCAAAUUUUGUCGAUGUGGCAUUAUCAGUUUUAUGUAUAUGUAUUUUAUUAUAAAACUUCUGUAUUUUAAAUAUAAUUCACAGACAGCAGAUGGCGCUAGCGCAUAAAUACUAUAAAAGCCCACCCUCGUUCACUCGUACUUCCUCUGUCUCCUCACUGGCGUUUUCCGGCCUGGUUGGGCCCAGAGGUCGUGCGUUGUGUUCUACGGGUCCAGGUAGCUAUCGUUCAUUUAUUCCUCCUUAGAUCUUGGUAUAGCCACUAAUAUAGGUUUUAUUUUAGCGUCGUGGGUGGUUGAGAGCCUCAACGCGCACCACCCCAUGGCGUCCAUUGCUCUCGGUGCGUUGUCCGGGGCCUGCUGGGGCCCUCGCGUAACCGGGGUGCUAUCGAAGCACCGGGCCGACUGGAUGUGGGCGUGCAACGGUGGCCUGUCGCUGCAGUCUUGCUUCCCCCUUGUUUCCACGUUUCUUUUUGCUUUGUUAAUAUACUCUGGACAUUUGUAAAAUCCAACAAAUGUGAACUGUGAACCAACUGAAAGCUAAAGUAAGCUAGCGAAGGCUGUGAAAUGAAAUGUCUACUAUAAACAAAAGUGUG
rnacentral:lncRNA from 1 species